rnacentral:rRNA from 1 species
AUUGAACGCUGGCGGCAGGCCUAACACAUGCAAGUCGAGCGGAUGAAGGGAGCUCGCUCCUGGAUUCAGCGGCGGACGGGUGAGUAAUGCCUAGGAAUCUGCCUGGUCGUGGGGGCUAACGUCCGGAAACGGGCGCUAAUCUCGCAUACGUCCUGAGGGAGAAAGUGGGGGAUCUUCGGACCUCACGCUAUUAGAUGAGCCUAGGUCGGAUUAGCUAGUUGGUGAGGUAAAGGCCUACCAAGGCGACGAUCCGUAACUGGUCUGAGAGGAUGAUCAGUCACACUGGAACUGAGACACGGUCCAGACUCCUACGGGAGGCAGCAGUAGGGAAUAUUGGGCAAUGGGCGAAAGCCUGAUCCAGCCAUGCCGCGUGAGUGAUGAAGGUCUUCGGAUUGUAAAGCUCUUUAAGUUGGGAGGAAGAGCAGUAAGUUAAUACCUUGCUGUUUUGACGUUACCAACAGAGUAAGCACCGGCUAACUUCGUG